rnacentral:rRNA from 1 species
UACGUAGGAGGCAAGCGUUGUCCGGAAUUACUGGGCGUAAAGCGCGUGUAGGUGGUGGGACAAGUCUGCUGUGAAAGCCCCCCGCUCAACGGGGGAGGGUCCGUCGAGAUGGCGUGUCUGGAGGCAGGGAGAGGCCAGUGGAAUUCCGGGUGUAGUGGUGAAAUGCGUAGAGAUCCGGAGGAACACCAGUGGCGAAGGCGGCUGGCUGGACCUGACCUGACGCUGAGGCGCGAAGGCGUGGGGAGCGAACGGG